rnacentral:rRNA from 1 species
AUUGAACGCUGGCGGCAUGCUUUACACAUGCAAGUCGAACGGUAACAGGGUGCUUGCACCGCUGACGAGUGGCGAACGGGUGAGUAAUGCGUCGGAACGUGCCGAGUAGUGGGGGAUAACGCAGCGAAAGUUGUGCUAAUACCGCAUACGUACUGAGGUAGAAAGUGGGGGACCUUCGGGCCUCACGCUAUUCGAGCGGCCGACGUCUGAUUAGCUAGUAGGUGAGGUAAGAGCUCACCUAGGCGACGAUCAGUAGCGGGUCUGAGAGGAUGAUCCGCCACACUGGGACUGAGACACGGCCCAGACUCCUACGGGAGGCAGCAGUGGGGAAUUUUGGACAAUGGGCGCAAGCCUGAUCCAGUCAUGCCGCGUGGGUGAAGAAGGCCUUCGGGUUGUAAAGCCCUUUUGUUGGGAAAGAAAUCCAGCUGGCUAAUACCCGGUUGGGAUGACGGUACCCAAAGAAUAAGCACCGGCUAACUUCGUGCCAGCCGCCGCGGUAA